UACGUAGGGUCCGAGCGUUGUCCGGAAUUAUUGGGCGUAAAGGGCUCGUAGGCGGUUCGUCGCGUCGGGAGUGAAAACUCGGAGCUCAACUCCGAGCCUGCUUCCGAUACGGGCAGACUAGAGGUAGGCAGGGGAGAGUGGAAUUCCUGGUGUAGCGGUGAAAUGCGCAGAUAUCAGGAAGAACACCCGUGGCUAAGGCGGCUCUCUAGUACGGUACUGACGCUGAGACGCGAAAGCGUGGGGAGCGAACAGG
rnacentral:rRNA from 1 species